AGCUUUACAUAGCAAUGUUACCCUGCUGUCAGUCUAGAGAGAUACAAAGUGUACCAGGGCAGAGGCUUGGCACAAACCGGGCACGUUUAACCACAGGGCAAGAGAGCCAGACUCGUCUGCAUUCGGGGGUUCAGAGCUUUUAACCUCAUCUCACGACGAGACAGAAUCCGGAACAGCAGAUUGGGGUCUUAAGGCAAGCUUAAAGCAAGCUCACAGUCAAGGGACAAGCAGAAGCACUCCAAAUGAGUGCACACGCCUCAGCAGUCCGCUGAUGCAGCUGCAGGUGUUUGAAAGUGAGUUUAUCACAGGAUCUGAGCGAAUUGCCAUUUUCAACACGCAAGCCACAAAUCUGUAAGCUCAUCAGAGGGGCACCAUGGCACAGACCCAUUCCCAUGAGUCAGAGGGCUGGAUCCUUCCCAAGAAAUGAAAUUCAUUUGUGUUUGGCCGGCCAGCAGCAGCAGAGACAGUUGAUUGGAUGGGACUCCAGGGUUAUUCCUGGAUGAGAAAGAGGCAGUGACAGGAGUGUGUAAUUCGGUCCCUACUGACUCAGAUGUGCCCCUCCCUGCCAACGCCACAGUGCCAUGACUCAAGACCCUCACUGACUCAGCCGCCGGGGGUCAAGCCAUCCCCCUCUCCCCACUCCUCCCUCCUUCUGUCAGGACAAAACUGCACCCUUUCUACCCUGGGCACAUCAGCAGAUGUUCUCUUUCCAUUGUUAUAGAGGUACACUCCUUAUAAAAGACACUGGAAUGGCAAAGUUCAUUUAAGCAGUUGCCGCCACCACACUGUAGAUUCACUCUCCAUGUGCAGCAGGUAUUAGGGACCCCCCCAUCCUGACACCCCCACACUGUAGAUUCACUCUCCCUGUGCAGCAGGUAUUAGGGACCCCCCCAUCCUGACACCCCCACACUGUAGAUUCACUCUCCAUGUGCAGCAGGUAUUAGGGACCCCCCCAUCCUGACACCCCCACACUGUAGAUUCAC